CCUUGUACACACCGCCCGUCACGCCAUGGGAGUGGGUUGUACCAGAAGUAGUUAGACUAACCGAAAGGAGUCGAUUACCACGGUAUGAUUCAUGACUGGGGCG
rnacentral:rRNA from 1 species